rnacentral:rRNA from 1 species
GGAGUCUGCAACUCGACUCCAUGAAGUCGGAAUCGCUAGUAAUCGUGGAUCAGAAUGCCACGGUGAAUACGUUCCCGGGCCUUGUACACACCGCCCGUCACACCAUGGGAGUGGGUUGCAAAAGAAGUAGGUAGCUUAACCUUCGGGAGGGCGCUUACGACUUUGUGAUUCAUGACUGGGGUGAAGUCGUAACAAGGUAACCGUAGGGGAACCUGCGGUUGGAUCACCUCCUUA